rnacentral:lncRNA from 1 species
GAAAUUUUGGGGGGAAAAGUUUGGGGAUGGAAAAUUUGGGGAGGGAAAUUUUGGGGGGAAAAGUUUGGGGAUGGAAAAUUUGGGAGGGAAAUUUGGGGAGGGGAAGUUUGGGGGGAAAAGUUUGGGGAUGGAAAAUUGGGAAGGGAAAUUUGGGGAGGAAAGUUUUGGGGAUGGAAAUUUGGGAAGGGAAAUUUUGGGGAGGGAAAUUUGGGAAGGGAAAUUUUGGGAAGGGAAAUUUGGGGAGGGAAAUUUUGGGGAGGGAAAUUUGGGGACGGAAAUUUGGGAGGGGACAAAGCUUUGAGCGGGUGGAAAUGGAAAGAAGGGAAAAGGAUUUGGGAAAGGAAAGCUUCGGAGGGGAGAAGUUCCGGGAGGAAAGUGAAAGUUUGGAAGGGGAGGAAAAUUUUGGGAAAGAAAAUUUCAGGGGGAAAAUUUGGGUGGGAGGAGGGGGAGAAAGUUCCGUGUGGAGGAAAAAUUUUGGGAUGAAAUUUUGGGGCUUUUUUUUCCCCCUCUUUUUUCAGGUGACGUUCAGCGACAGCGACCCCGAGGAGCCCCAAAUCCCCCCAGAUCCCCCCAAAAACGGCCGGAAAAAUUCCUGUGCCCGGAGGGUCCGGCCCCAAAAAUCCCCCGGGAAUUCCCCGGGAAUUGAGGCUCGGCCCCGGCGGGGGCGGCCCCGGAAGGAGCCGGAAAAAAGUGGGAUCGAGCAGGGGGAAAAUGUGGAAAAGAAGGAAAAAAGGAGAAACCCCAGAAUGGAAAACGUGGGGAGAAGAGGGAUCUCAGAAAUGGAAAAUGUGGGAAAAAAUGGAAACCCCAGAAUGGAAAACGAGGAAAAAAUGGGAAACCCCAAAAUGGAAAAGAUGGGAAACCCUAAAAUGGAAAAAGAGGAAAAAAUGGGAAACCCUAAAAUGGAAAAAAUGGGAAACCCUAAAAUGGAAAAAGAAGAAAAAAUGGGAAACCCUAAAAUGGAAAAAAUGGGGAAAAGAGGGAUCCCAAAAAUGGAAAAUGUGGGAAAAAAUGGAAACCCCAAAAUGGAAAACGUGGGGAGAAGAGGGAUCUCAGAAAUGGAAAAUGUGGGAAAAAAUGGAAACCCCAGAAUGGAAAACGAGGAAAAAAUGGGAAACCCCAAAAUGGAAAAAAUGGGAAACCCUAAAAUGGAAAAAACGGGGAAAAGAGGGAUCUCAGAAACAGAAAAUGUGGGAAAAAAUGGAAACCCCAGAAUGGAAAACGAGGAAAAAAUGGGAAACCCUAAAAUGGAAAAAAUGGGAAACCCCAAAACGGAAACUUUGGAAAAGAAGGAAAAGGGAAACUCCAAGAAAAUUCUGGAAAAGAAGGAGAACAGGGCCCCGUGCCGGGAAAAGAGGGAGAGGGGGACGCCCCGAAUGGGAAUUUUGGAGGGAAAGAAAAGCUGGGAAUUUUCUGGGAUGGAGGAACGGGAUCCCCUGAGGGCCCUGGAGGAGGAGGAGGAAGAGGAAGAGCUGAGCUUCGAGCUCCCCCCGCUGCCCCCAGGUGAGUCCGGGGGGGUUUUGGGGGACCCCAAAAUUGCCUUUUCGCACCCCAAAACUGCCCCAUCCCGUGUCCUUCCUUUUCCAGGUGGGGCCGGCAAGGAAAUUCCAGGGAUUGGGGAUCGGGGGGAUCCCCCAAAUCCAGAGGGGUCCAACCCCUCUGCCCCGCCCGGUGAGCAGCUGGAAUUUGGGGUGUUCGGGGAAUUUUG